GGCCUUUUGAUAGUUAAUAUAAGGUCAGGCCUGCCCCCUGAUGUAUGUUUAAUGGCCGCGGUAUUUUGACCGUGCAAAGGUAGCAUAAUAAUUUGUCUUUUAAUUAAAGGCUGGAAUGAAUGGUCUUACGAGAGAAAAACUGUCUCCUUAUAAAUAGGUAGAAGUUAAUUUUUUAGUGAAAAAGCUAUAGUAUAAAUGGAUAAAUGAUUCUGGAGGACAAAAAGACCCUAUAGAUCUUAUAUAAAAAUUAAUAUAUCUUAUAUUAGUAAUAAAGUUUUUGUAAUAUUAUUUUUUAUUUUGUUGGGGCGACGGUAAGAUAAAAUAACCUCUUAUUAAUUAAAUUACACUGAUAUGUGUAACAGUUGUUGUUGAUCCGAAAAUUUCGAUUAUAAGUUUAAGUUACCUUAGGGAUAACAGCGUAAUCUUUUUUGAGAGUUCUUAUCGACAAGAAGGGUUGCGACCUCGAUGUUGGAUUAAAGUAUCCUUAAAUAUGGUGUAGCAGCUAUAAAGGAGGGUCUGUUCGACCUUUAAAAUUUUACA
rnacentral:rRNA from 1 species